GGUUAAGCGAACAAGCGUACACGGUGGAUGCCCUGGCAGUCAGAGGCGAUGAAGGACGUGCUAAUCUGCGAAAAGCGCCGGUAAGGUGAUAUGAACCGUUAUAACCGGCGAUGUCCGAAUGGGGAAACCCGGUGCACUUCGGUGCAUCAUCGUUAGCUGAAUACAUAGGCUAACGAGGCGAACCGGGGGAACUGAAACAUCUAAGUACCCCGAGGAAAAGAAAUCAACCGAGAUUCCCCCAGUAGCGGCGAGCGAACGGGGAACAGCCCAGAGCCUGAAUCAGCUUGUGUGUCAGUGGAACGGUCUGGAAAGGCCGGCGAUACAGGGUGACAGCCCCGUACACGAAGGCACACAGGCUGUGAGCUCGAUGAGUAGGGCGGGACACGUGAUAUCCUGUCUGAAGAUGGGGGGACCAUCCUCCAAGGCUAAAUACUCCUGACUGACCGAUAGUGAACCAGUACCGUGAGGGAAAGGCGAAAAGAACCCCGGCGAGGGGAGUGAAACAGAACCUGAAACCGUGUACGUACAAGCAGUGGGAGCCUUCGUAAGAGGGUGACUGCGUACCUUUUGUAUAAUGGGUCAGCGACUUAUAUUCUGUAGCAAGGUUAACCGUAUAGGGGAGCCGAAGGGAAACCGAGUCUUAACCGGGCGUUAAGUUGCAGGGUAUAGACCCGAAACCCGGUGAUCUAGCCAUGGGCAGGUUGAAGGUUGGGUAACACUAACUGGAGGACCGAACCGACUAAUGUUGAAAAAUUAGCGGAUGACCUGUGGCUGGGGGUGAAAGGCCAAUCAAACCGGGAGAUAGCUGGUUCUCCCCGAAAGCUAUUUAGGUAGCGCCUCGUGAAUUCAUCUCCGGGGGUAGAGCACUGUUUCGGCUAGGGGGCCAUCCCGGCUUACCAACCCGAUGCAAACUGCGAAUACCGGAGAAUGUUAUCACGGGAGACACACGGCGGGUGCUAACGUCCGUCGUGAAGAGGGAAACAACCCAGACCGCCAGCUAAGGUCCCAAAGUCAUGGUUAAGUGGGAAACGAUGUGGGAAGGCCCAGACAGCCAGGAUGUUGGCUUAGAAGCAGCCAUCAUUUAAAGAAAGCGUAAUAGCUCACUGGUCGAGUCGGCCUGCGCGGAAGAUGUAACGGGGCUAAACCAUGCACCGAAGCUGCGGCAGCGACACGUAUGUGUUGUUGGGUAGGGGAGCGUUCUGUAAGCCUGUGAAGGUGUGCUGUGAGGCAUGCUGGAGGUAUCAGAAGUGCGAAUGCUGACAUAAGUAACGAUAAAGCGGGUGAAAAGCCCGCUCGCCGGAAGACCAAGGGUUCCUGUCCAACGUUAAUCGGGGCAGGGUGAGUCGACCCCUAAGGCGAGGCCGAAAGGCGUAGUCGAUGGGAAACAGGUUAAUAUUCCUGUACUUGGUGUUACUGCGAAGGGGGGACGGAGAAGGCUAUGUCAGCCGGGCGACGGUCGUCCCGGUUUAAGCGUGUAGGCUGACUUUCCAGGCAAAUCCGGAAGGUUAAGGCUGAGGCGUGAUGACGAGGCACCACGGUGCUGAAGUGACAAAUGCCCUGCUUCCAGGAAAAGCCUCUAAGCAUCAGGUAACAUCAAAUCGUACCCCAAACCGACACAGGUGGUCAGGUAGAGAAUACCAAGGCGCUUGAGAGAACUCGGGUGAAGGAACUAGGCAAAAUGGUGCCGUAACUUCGGGAGAAGGCACGCUGACAUGUAGGUGAAGCCCCUGCGGGUGGAGCUGAAGUCAGUCGAAGAUACCAGCUGGCUGCAACUGUUUAUUAAAAACACAGCACUGUGCAAACACGAAAGUGGACGUAUACGGUGUGACGCCUGCCCGGUGCCGGAAGGUUAAUUGAUGGGGUUAUCGCAAGAGAAGCUCCUGAUCGAAGCCCCGGUAAACGGCGGCCGUAACUAUAACGGUCCUAAGGUAGCGAAAUUCCUUGUCGGGUAAGUUCCGACCUGCACGAAUGGCGUAAUGAUGGCCAGGCUGUCUCCACCCGAGACUCAGUGAAAUUGAACUCGCUGUGAAGAUGCAGUGUACCCGCGGCAAGACGGAAAGACCCCGUGAACCUUUACUACAGCUUGACACUGAACAUUGAGCCUUGAUGUGUAGGAUAGGUGGGAGGCUUUGAAGCGUGGACGCCAGUCUGCGUGGAGCCAACCUUGAAAUACCACCCUUUAAUGUUUGAUGUUCUAACCUGGCGCCGUGAUCCGGCGUGGGGACAGUGUCUGGUGGGUAGUUUGACUGGGGCGGUCUCCUCCCAAAGUGUAACGGAGGAGCACGAAGGUCAGCUAAUCCUGGUCGGACAUCAGGAGGUUAGUGCAAUGGCAUAAGCUGGCUUGACUGCGAGAGUGACGGCUCGAGCAGGUGCGAAAGCAGGUCAUAGUGAUCCGGUGGUUCUGUAUGGAAGGGCCAUCGCUCAACGGAUAAAAGGUACUCCGGGGAUAACAGGCUGAUACCGCCCAAGAGUUCAUAUCGACGGCGGUGUUUGGCACCUCGAUGUCGGCUCAUCACAUCCUGGGGCUGAAGUAGGUCCCAAGGGUAUGGCUGUUCGCCAUUUAAAGUGGUACGCGAGCUGGGUUUAGAACGUCGUGAGACAGUUCGGUCCCUAUCUGCCGUGGGCGCUGGAGAAUUGAGGGGGGCUGCUCCCAGUACGAGAGGACCGGAGUGGACGCAUCACUGGUGUUCGGGUUGUCAUGCCAAUGGCACUGCCCGGUAGCUAAAUGCGGAAGAGAUAAGUGCUGAAAGCAUCUAAGCACGAAACUUGCCCCGAGAUGAGUUCUCCCUGAGACUUUAAGUCUCCUGAAGGAACGUUGAAGACGACGACGUUGAUAGGCCGGGUGUGUAAGCGCAGCGAUGCGUUGAGCUAACCGGUACUAAUGAACCGUGAGGCUUAACCUU
rnacentral:rRNA from 1 species